UGGAGCCUCCCAUCGUCGACGGUGCUACUAAAGUUUAGUAGCUUCCAUGCACAGAUGUGCAUAGAUGUAGGUUCGACAUCGAGCACAGGUUCACAGGUUCGGGGUUAUCGAGUUUGGGACUAUAGGAUUUGGGUUUAGGGCACUCUUUGGGUAUUAACGGGUUCAGAUCCGUGGAUUCAGGCAUAUGGAUUUGGGUUAUCGGGUUGUUGGAGUAUCGGGUCAUCGGGUUAUUGAAUAGUGGGUUAUUGGGUUGUGGGUUAUUUGGUUGUUGGGUUUUGGGUUGCGAGUUAUUGGUUGUGGAAGUUGGUUUAGCUAUUCCACGAUUGGGGUUAGGGUUCGAUUUUGAGUUAGGGUUAGGAUGAGUAAUUAGGUUAGGUCAAUUGCGAAUGGGUUUGUGUCUGAUUAAGGUUGGGAUGGCUGCUUGGCUUAGGAUCAGGGCUAGGGUCAGGGUUAGAUUAGGGUGCGAAAGUGAGGACGGUGGUGGAG
rnacentral:lncRNA from 1 species